UAUUAUAUAUUAAAGUAAAAAGAAACAUUAGCAGACCAUGUUCUGAAUCGCACAUGAACAAGAAACAAAGAACUUAAAUCCUAGUUACUUUCAUCUCAUUAACAAAGAAAACAAUCACAAAAAUCAAUCAGAAUUGCAAAACAAAAUUCAAAAGAGAAGAACACUACCAGAACGAAAUCAUUGGUAGAUAUAGCAUGGCGGUGGUUGCACGAUUUCAACGAGGAUUCUUUCAUGGUGGACGGUGGUGCGGUGUGCGACAUAAGUUCAAAAAGACCUAAUCAAGAUACAAACAAUUCAUGCAACACAUACAGGAAAAACAAGAUUAGAGAUUACCGAUUCGAAAGUUAUCAGAGGAGGAAUCCACAAAAGUAUGUCUCACUCUAUUUCUCCUUUUCUCUUGUUCUUUCUCUUUCUUUUGUUAAUAUUGUUUGUUCUUUACUGCGAGGUUGCUUAGGAUUGGUGGUUGGACUUCACGAAUGGAGCUUAGGGUUUAGUUAUUGUUGUUCUUCAAUGUGAAGAACAACAACUUUAGGAUAAUGAAUUUGUAAUUGUGGAUGAAUGAAAAGUGUGGACAUGCUCCCUAUUUAUAUAUGAAAAAUUAGGUCAAAAAUUGAAUGAAA